rnacentral:sRNA from 1 species
AGUUUCAGCCGCGACAGCAAGAACUGCAGAGCCGGCGACCGCGGCGGCGGCGGCAGAGGCAGGGGCAGCCUGGGCGGGUCGCAGGGUCUCCGCGGGCGCAGGAAGGCGAGCAGAGCACAAAUGAGGAUGUCCCAUUUUCUGCCUUUUGGGUUUUAUCAGCUGCUGUAGGUUUUCCACACUGUGUAGCUGCAGUAGACUGGCUGCCCUCUGUCCAACAUGCAAUGCCACUUGGUAUCAUUCAUGGUUUGAUCCCGAGAACAAUCCACCUAUUAUAUAAUUUUCCCCUCUCAUGUCAUUCCACUGACCUCAAUCAAUUGAUUUGGUGACAAAAUGAAACACGUUCAUGGAGAAGCUGCAAAAAGUGUGCAAAGUACACCUACAAGGAGAGUUUCCCCAUCUUUUCCAUAAUGUGGCCAUCCAGAAUGAGGAAGGAACAAGAAUACUUGAACAUCACAGAGACCAAACCAUUUCCAUAUGUCAAAACCAGAGAGCCUGGGAUCAAAGUUAUACUUGGAAAAGGGCUGUAAGAAAUGAAAAACCACCUAGUAGCAUCUGUACUUCCCUUAAAAUUCAACCUCCACUGGCUUCCUCUGAAUCCAUCAAGGUCUUAAAUAUUUAAAGAAAUGCUAAAUUCAGAAGGUAUUUAAGAAAUGGGCAGGCCCUGCUAGGUCCUGAUGAGUCCAGUGCCUCCAGGAGCUGCCCAAUGGGCCAGCAGUCUCUGUGGAAUCCAGGUGACCCUUCCCACUAGGGAUUGGACCAACACUUCAUGCAGCUUUCUUCCGAGGACCCCAACGAAGGGGUGUUUUGAACCCAAGUCAAAAGGAUGCCCUACAAGGCUAGUUUGAACAGAACCCUGACCCUGAUAUGACUCCCAGAGAACAACUGACCAGAGAAAUUGGCACUCCAGAAUUUAGAAUACAGAUGUGGUUUCAAAACCAGAGAAUACAACACCUCAGACAGAGUCUAUUGGGGUCUGGAUUGGGGUCAAUUUCCUGGAACUGCUAUCAGGGAAGAAAUGGCUGCACAAACAGGCCUCUCAGAGUUCAGAACUCAGAUAUGGUUCCAUAACCAAAGCGCUCGGCACUGUGGCCAGAGCUGUAGACUUGUGAAUUCCCUGGCAGAAGGCCCCAAGUCGGAGACCUCACAUGACUGUAUGACAAGGCAAGGCAACUUGUGCAUGGCCCCUAGCACCAGGGUCACUUCCAUCCCUCCAGUUCUUUCAGCAACAACCAGCUCUUCUUCCACCUCACACAUGCUUUGGUUCUUGGGUUCCCCCUGGCGUCGGAGUGAGCCAGGCACCAAGGGUCACGAUGCCCCAGCCACCAGGCUGUGCUGGGAGGAGAGGUCUCUCCACCUCUUCUGACACUUAGGAGUCACAUGUCAACAGGCCCAGCUCUAGGAGGGGUGCUCUUACAUCCUCUGACUCCUUUCCAGCCUCCACACCAAGGAAGAUGCCAGGAUGACAAGGACAGUGACACAUGGCCUGGCAAUACUGCCCUGUAAGAACCCUACACAGCCCCAGCCUGGCAAUCCUAAGCACCAGUUGCAGGGAACUGGUCAGCAAGACACACCUCGCCUUAUGCAGUGGUGGCACAAGGGGCCCCAGGGAGUGAUGGUCAAAUGGCCAGCUGGAGCAGGGGCACCUCAGCAGCCCACAGAGCCUGCACACACCUGAACAUCUCUGUGGCAGCAGCGGGCACCACCAGCUGCAGAGCCAACUCAGCCACUCGAGCAACUGCACAGCUCUCUGCAGAACCCAUCCUUUUAGGUCAAUGCCUGUCAAUCGUAGAGUUUCAGAGAAAGACACAAGCCUGCCUGAAUCCAAGUCCACAGGAAAAGGUUCCUCCACCACUUGAACCACCUCUCAGUGAGGAAGAAUUUGAUGCUCUGCCUGAUGUGAUGCAGACCUCACCAGGGUGUCAGCUUUGGGAGGAGCAAGGCCUCCUUCUCACCUCUACCAUCCAGGCCUCUUUCCUGGACACAGAAUCAAUGUGAUACCAAGAAGGACAAACAAUGCACACACUGUGUUUGGCAGCAAGAUCAGCGCUAGAAAAAGCACCAAACACUUAGAAACCCAAAGGGAGCAUUUUGACUCAGUCUUGUGGGAGAUGCUUGACUUCUGCUCUCACUUAAUGGCCUAUAUGAUUGUUGCAAAGCUCUCUACUGCCCCUGGAAGGCAUCAUGGGCACCAGGCCAUCAAUGCCCUCACUGCGUCCUGAAGAACCAAAGCAUUUUUGUAGCAAACAUCACCCACUCCCUACAAUCCUCACCGCUUGGGCAGUCUGGACUAUACAGGAACUGGAACCAAACCAAACCAGGGCGAGGACACUAGGUCUAAGGGGGACAUCUCCACAUUUCUUUCCUUCUGGCAAAUUCAGAAGUCACACCUGAAAGCAGGUAGAUGUCUAGAAUAUGGGGGGAUGCUGUAUUUUCUUGUUCUGUGAGUUGAUAACAAGGAGUUUUUAAUCUCAGCUCUGAGAGUUGGAAAUGGGAAUUGGAAGUCACUUCACUACCCACCUCUUGGGAACUGAUUCCACAAGUUUAUAUCGAUAAUCCCGAGUAGCCUUCAUGACCAGUUUUCCCUCUGAACAUUGAAAUGUAGAGAAAAUGACAGGAGAAGUUAGAAUAGCAACUCCCUUAGAUCAUUGAACAAAGCAUAUGAAUGUUACUCUUCUCACAUUGUUAGCAUUUCUGUAUGUUAACCUAUAUAUCUACCCAUCAAGCUGCCCUUUUUUUAAAUAAAUGUCAAGUUUAAAU